rnacentral:rRNA from 1 species
UACGUAGGGUGCAAGCGUUAUCCGGAAUUAUUGGGCGUAAAGAGCUCGUAGGCGGUUUGUCGCGUCUGCUGUGAAAACUGGAGGCUCAACCUCCAGCCUGCAGUGGGUACGGGCAAACUAGAGUGCGGUAGGGGAGAUUGGAAUUCCUGGUGUAGCGGUGGAAUGCGCAGAUAUCAGGAGGAACACCGGUGGCGAAGGCGGGUCUCUGGGCCGGAACUGACGCUAAGGAGCGAAAGCGUGGGGAGCGAACAGG